AUUGAACGCUGGCGGCAUGCCUUACACAUGCAAGUCGAACGGCAGCACGGGAGCAAUCCUGGUGGCGAGUGGCGAACGGGUGAGUAAAGUAUCGGAACGUGCCCAGUCGUGGGGGAUAACGUAGCGAAAGUUACGCUAAUACCGCAUACGAUCUACGGAUGAAAGCGGGGGAUCGCAAGACCUCGCGCGAUUGGAGCGGCUGAUAUCAGAUUAGGUAGUUGGUGGGGUAAAGGCUCACCAAGCCGACGAUCUGUAGCUGGUCUGAGAGGACAACCAGCCACCCUGGGACUGGGACACGGCCCAGACUCCUACGGGAGGCAGCAGUGGGGAAUUUUGGACAAUGGGCGCAAGCCUGAUCCAGCCAUGCCGCGUGCAGGAUGAAGGCCUUCGGGUUGUAAACUGCUUUUGUACGGAACGAAAAGGUUUGGCCUAAUAAGCUGAGCUCAUGACGGUACCGUAAGAAUAAGCACCGGCUAACUACGUGCCAGCCGCCGCCGUAA
rnacentral:rRNA from 1 species